GAUCUACCAAGAUCCAGACUUGGUUUGAGUAUGUCGAGUCAAUUUCUGAUCUCAUUGCCUCUAACCAUUUCUUAGAGUCGAUAUCUGAUAUCACCUCGUCAUAGGUCUUGGGAUCAUCACCAUGAACCUCAUUUUUCAUGAGGAAUAUUUCCUCUACAUCCUCUUGUAUGGUACCUAAGUACCUUUCAGGAGGAUGGAAAAUUCUAGUCAAUCUACGAGGUGGAAGAGGUUGUGUUAGGACUGGUUCUGAUUGAUUUGGUUCCUCAGGUUCUUUAGCUCGUUGCUCUUGGGAGACAUUCUCCUUGAGCUUAAUUAUUCUUC
rnacentral:lncRNA from 1 species